AAUCCUGACUCAGGAUGAACGCUGGCGGCGUGCCUAAUACAUGCAAGUCGAACGCACAGCGAAAGGUGCUUGCACCUUUCAAGUGAGUGGCGAACGGGUGAGUAACACGUGGACAACCUGCCUCAAGGCUGGGGAUAACAUUUGGAAACAGAUGCUAAUACCGAAUAAAACUUAGUGUCGCAUGACACAAAGUUAAAAGGCGCUUCGGCGUCACCUAGAGAUGGAUCCGCGGUGCAUUAG
rnacentral:rRNA from 1 species